CCAGCAUUAGGAAUGCUUGCUUCAUAUAUGGUGCAUGGAGAUUAUGCAUGUCCACCUUGUGGUGCAAAUGUAUGGACCAAGCGCUUGAAGUAUGGCAAGAAAGCUUGUUUUAUGGGUCACCGCCGAUUUUUGCCACCUGAUCAUGAAUUUCGUAAUGAUGCUUCUGCUUUUGAUGGAACAACUGAGAAUAGAACAGAGCCUAUAACCUAUUAUGGUCGUUCCGUAUUAGAUGACAUAGCUGCAUGUGGAGAUUUUAGUACCUCAAAAACUUACAAAGGAAAAAGUAGUUUAUUCACAUUACCAUAUUGGGACAGUAAUCUACUUCGACAUAAUCUGGAUGUGAUGCAUAUAGAGAAGAAUGUGUGUGAUAAUAUUUUUGGCACACUUCUCAAUUUGGAUGGGAAGUCAAAAGAUAAUGUACAGGCUCGUCAAGAUCUUGAAGAUAUGAAUAUUAGAGGGGAGCUCCAUCCACAAAAAAAACCUUCAGGCAAGUAUUACUUGCCACCAGCUAUCUUUACCAUGUCUAAGGAAGAAAAGCAAUUAUUCUACAAAGUUAUUCAUGGUAUAAAAGUUCUUGAUGGAUAUUGUGGAAAUAUAUCGAAGUGUGUGAAUUUUACUGAAGGAAAAAUUAGUGGCCUCAAAACACAUGAUUGUCAUGUCCUAUUACAUCAAUUUCUGCCAAUUGCUGCGAGAGGUAUUCUUCCAGGUGAUGUUACAGCAGUAUUAUUUGAAUUGUCUUCAUAUUUUCGAGGCAUAUGUUCAAAAGUUCUUCAUGUUGAUGAGCUUGACCGUUUGGAAGAAAGAAUCAAACUUACACUCUGCAAAAUGGAGAUGAUAUUUCCUCCUGGUUUUUUCACUGUUAUGGUGCACUUAGUUGUCCAUUUAGCAAGUGAAUGUAAAAUAGCAGGACCAGUUACAUAUCGGUGGAUG
rnacentral:rRNA from 1 species